AAAAGCAUUCUGUGUUUUCUCACUAUGUAGGUUGAUACAAUAGAUACCAUCUUUGUUUGCAAACCUUUUGUUUGGUCUAGUUAUUUUCACAGUUGUUGGUUCUCCUUGCAUUCUGAAGAUUUUCUAGGAGUCUAUUAUACACUAGUAGUUGUUCACAUUUUUCUUGUUCCCUUAAAAGAUAAAUUUGUGUUUUGAUGGUGCAAAUUAUUAAAUUCCAAAGAUACCAUCUUUCAGUUACAUGAUUUUUUUUCCUUUCUAUGUAUAUUCCUCCAAAACUAUACAGGGAGCAAAUUACUGUAAACUGUGGUCUAUUGCAAUUGCAGAAUAUCCUGCCUACCAGGAUAGAGCACGUUGCUGGAGCAGUAUGAUACUGAUUUUAUCAGUUACUGAGUGAGAAGCAGCUCACCUACACAACUACUUCCUAGCCAGAAACAGCUGAAUGAUGGAUUCAAUACUGCCACCCACUGUCUGGCUGCACACAAAUCUUGUGGAACUUUAUUUAAGGGAAUAGAUAAAAGUACUUAAUGGAGGGGUUUUGUUUGUUUGUUUUUGUUUGUUUAAGGUGUUUAAUUUUUCUGUCAGGACUUUCUAAUCAGCCUGUAUGAUGAUGCGUUUAAUCUACAACAAGGUUACCUCCGAAAUACUUUGUAUAUAGGCAGAUGAAUUCGCUUAGUGGUUUUAAAAAAAUAAAAAGAAAAAAAGUUCUUAGUUCA
rnacentral:lncRNA from 1 species